rnacentral:sRNA from 1 species
AUUGCCCGCUCCGCGUCCGGCCCGCGACCCGCGCUCAUCCGCCUGCCCGCCCGCGCCAUGAACGCCAAGGUCGUGGUCGUGCUGGCUCUCGUGCUGACCGCGCUCUGCCUCAGCGACGGGAAGCCCGUCAGCCUGAGCUACAGAUGCCCAUGCCGAUUCUUCGAAAGCCAUGUUGCCAGAGCCAACGUCAAGCAUCUCAAAAUUCUUAACACUCCAAACUGUGCCCUUCAGAUUGUGUAAGUCUUGAAAUUGAACAUCAUCUAACGAACAUAGUUGCAUCUAAUGAAGAUAGUAACAUCUAACCCGAGUCUUAUUAAAGGUGUAGAAGUGACAAGCCAAGUGUCCAACCUUGAACUUGGCAUAAUUAGUGGCAGCUAUUCUUAUCACGAGGACCUUUAGUAUGCCACCAGGCAUUAAUUUUAAAAGCUGCUCUUGGCCUGGGCACCCUGCUGUGCUGGUAGUAGUUCUCUCUUCUUUCCAAACCUGUGUUCUUCAGCACAGCACAGCUGGAUGCUAGAGAAACUAUGGGCUUCACCAAGGUUUUGGCUGAAGCCUAGUAAAUUAGCCAGCCCUUAGCUAAUAACAGUG